UACGUAGGGUGCGAGCGUUAAUCGGAAUUACUGGGCGUAAAGAGCGCGCAGGCGGUCGAUCAAGUCGAGUGUGAAAGCCCCCGGCUCAACUGGGGAGGGUCAUUCGAUACUGAUCGACUCGAAGGCAGGAGAGGGUAGUGGAAUUCCCGGUGUAGUGGUGAAAUGCGUAGAUAUCGGGAGGAACACCAGUGGCGAAGGCGACUUCCUGGCCUGUUCUUGACGCUGAGGCGCGAAAGCUAGGGGAGCAAACGGG
rnacentral:rRNA from 1 species